GAUGAAGAACGUAGUGAAAUGCGAUAAGUAAUGCGAAUUGCAGAAUCCGUGAGUCAUCGAAUCUUUGAACGCACAUUGCGCCCUCUGGUAUUCCGGAGGGCAUGCCUGUUCGAGCGUCAUUAUCACCCCUCAAGCCCGGCUUGUUGUUGGAUGCAGCGCUUAUCCCGCUCCUCCCAAAGAUAAUGACGGCGUCUGCGACGACUCCUGUACACUGAGCUUUCGGGCACGUACACGGCUAGAAGUCCAGACCCGGUCGCCGUCCCCCCCGCGGGGACACCCAUUACCACAAGGUUGACCUCGGAUCAGGUAGGAAUACCCGCUGAACUUAAGCAUAUCAAUAAGCGGAGGA
rnacentral:misc_RNA from 1 species